AUUGAACGCUGGCGGCAUGCUUUACACAUGCAAGUCGAACGGUAACAGGGAGCUUGCUCCGCUGACGAGUGGCGAACGGGUGAGUAAUGCGUCGGAACGUGCCGAGUAGUGGGGGAUAACGCAUCGAAAGGUGUGCUAAUACCGCAUACGAACUGAGGUUGAAAGUGGGGGACCUUCGGGCCUCACGCUAUUCGAGCGGCCGACGUCUGAUUAGCUAGUUGGUGAGGUAAAGGCUCACCAAGGCGACGAUCAGUAGCGGGUCUGAGAGGAGGAUCCGCCACACUGGGACUGGGACUCGGCCCAUACUCCUACUGGAGGCAGCAGUGGGGAAUUUUGGACAAUGGGCGCAAGCCUGAUCCAGCCAUGCCGCGUGUCUGAAGAAGGCCUUCGGGUUGUAAAGGACUUUUGUCCGGGAGCAAAUGCUGGUGGCUAACAUCCACCGGAGCUGAGAGUACCGGAAGAAUAAGCACCGGCUAACUACGUGCCAGCAGCCGCAGUAACAC
rnacentral:rRNA from 1 species